AAAAAGACAGACCCUGGUUUUCCGUGUCCAACGUUUGACUGUCCGUCUUAUAUGAAAAUUUUUUAUAAUUAAUAUUUUUAUUGUUGUUAGAUGAUAAAACAUGAUUAAUACUUUAUGCGUGACUUAUCUUUUUAAUUUUUUUUAUAAUUUUUUUAAAUAAGGCGAAGAGUUAAACGUUGGACACGGAAACCUAAUGUUUGUCUUUUU
rfam:Oryza glaberrima chromosome 3 Oglab03_0091_6, whole genome shotgun sequence.